AGAAUCAACGCUGGCGGCGUGCCUAACACAUGCAAGUCGAACGAGAAAGUGGAGCAAUCCAUUAGUAAAGUGGCGCACGGGUGAGUAACACGUGACUAACCUACCCUUGAGUGGGGGAUAACCUAGGGAAACCUGGGCUAAUACCGCAUAAUACCUUCGGGUCAAAGGAGCAAUUCGCUUAAGGAGGGGGUCGCGGCCGAUUAGUUAGUUGGCGGGGUAAUGGCCCACCAAGACUAUGAUCGGUAUCCGGCCUGAGAGGGCGCACGGACACACUGGAACUGAAACACGGUCCAGACUCCUACGGGAGGCAGCAGUGGGGAAUUUUGCGCAAUGGGGGAAACCCUGACGCAGCAACGCCGCGUGGAGGAUGAAGUCCCUUGGGACGUAAACUCCUUUCGAUCGGGACGAUAAUGACGGUACCGAGAGAAGAAGCCCCGGCUAACUUCGUGCCAGCAGCCGC
rnacentral:rRNA from 1 species